CUUGACUGCUUCCCAUUCUUAGACCUGUCUGUUUAAUGCUUUGUGACAAACAAUCUGUUAUGUGGUGAAGACAGGCUGCAAAACAUUCCGAAAUCACAAUAUCUGCACUCCUCUACAUAAAUAUGGAGUCACUAUCUAUAUACAGCACUAACCGGUGUACUCAGCACUGUACAGGUUACAGUAGUGACAUCAUCAUGUGAUGUCA